UAAAGGGCCUCAGAACCCUUUAAGGCUCUGAUAAAAGCUUGAGAGCCUUUCCUGAGGAAAAAUGCCCAUGCUAACAAAAUUCUGUGGGUCAUUUCAGGAUGCUCCUAUAUCCCCCUCAAGCCAUGGACCCGGAUAAAAAGUCCCACUCAAGCAUUUCUCCAGACCCGAAAUAGGACGAUGACGAUGAAGUUGAUACAUGAGGAAGCACAAAUUGGACAGCCGAUCCCGAUAAAUCAUGGAGCAGGAACAGCCUUGCUCAGGAAUGCAGACGUCAGGAGUGCUGCUACGAGCUGUGGAAACCUUCAGGUAGAUCACUGGCCCCGCUUUUACAGGUCCUCCUCCUCCACCAGGUUUGAUUUGGGCUGGAAAGGUAUGUAUGAUUUUUUUUUUUUAAUGGAGGUACUAGGGAUUGAACCCAAGACCUUGUGCACAUCUCCGAGGGGGCCGUGACUCCCAGAAGGAUGCUCACAGGAUGCUCAGAGGAACCCCCAGGGACACACGGAAUGCCCUGGGCUCAAACACAAGCCAGCAGUCAGUGGAAGAUGGCAUCUCCCAGCAAAGACCUGGGCCAGGCGGCUCAGCACAUAACAGUUUCCAGCAGGCUCUCCUGCACGCCACACUUCAGGCUAAACACACACUACAGGGCUGUGCUUCGCCCCGCCCCGCUGCCUCUCUGCACGCUCCCCAGGGACUCAGGUGAGAAACGGCUUCUCCCCACCGUACAGCCCUUGGCACUUAUUCCGGGGACAAUUCUUUAGAGCCUGAGGUGGAUGACAGAGGGGUCGUGCAGAGAGGGGCCUGGGCUAAUUGCCAUGAGGCCCUGUUUCCAGUCCCGAGGGGCCUGUUGUCUGUGUGCCAUCAGGAAAGUCACCCCUUCUGUUUGCUGUGCUGCCUCUGCACGCCCUCCCUGCCCUCCAGGACGGUGGUGACGGUUAUGUGAAAUGAUGAGCGUGGAAGGGCUGGGAAGACUCUAGAAGUCUGGGCCCGUGUUGUCAAGCAGCAGGGAAAUGCCUGCUCACUUGCCACCUCCAGGGCUUCCUGCACGCCGCCGCCUGCGGCCAGGCCCUCCCUGGGCGCGCCUUCUCGGUGCUGCUUGCUCCCGCAGCCUCCUUUCUUCUUCAGCAUACCUCCUGUGGUUGGAGGACAGCUUGGAGUCCACCCAGAGGUCUGUUUAUCUCAGUCCCUGGUUGCUUCUGGGGAAACCAGCUAACGACGCUGCCUUCCUCCAAACUGACACAAAAUCCUCCCUGAAACUUAAGUUCCAGCUUCUCACAGGUGAUGUACCAUGUUGGAGAUCUAUUCCUGCCACACUUAGUGGGUUAAAUCAGCAACAUUUUAUAUAUAAUUUCUCACAACUCUGUGGGUUGAUUAGGCUCAGCUGGGUAGUGCCACGUGGAGUAGCCAGUGUCACUCAUGUGGCUGCGUCGGCUGGGGAGAAGCUGGGACUCGAGUGGCCGGGGGAGAGUCCCUUAUUCUCUGGGUUCUCUUGUCACGUGGCCUCGGUGUUUGAUAGUCUAGCAUGAACUUCCCUCCAGCUUGAUGGCUGGCUUCCAAGGGUAGCGUUCCAAGAGGCCCAGACCCAAAGUGCCAGUGCUGGUCCGGCGUCUGCUUGUGUCCCAUUGGCCAAAGAAAGUCACAUGGCCAACCCCAAAGUCAGCGCGGGAGGGGCUCCUGAAGGCUGUGAUGGCAGGGAGGCAUGGUUAUCGGAGUCACUGGGGGCUGCCAUUGUAGGACUGCCCGCAGACACCUCUCCUUUCUGUCUGCCUUUACCAGAGCAAUGAAGACCCUGUGUGGUGCAGGGUCUACUUGGCUCAGGUGAAGACAUGUCCAGCUGCUCUACAAUUUCCUCUUCCCUUCUCCCUCCAAAACAAGACCCUGCACAAACCACCAGCCUCUCUCUGAAGAUUUCUUGCACAUUCGCAUCCUGCUGGGUUCACUCCAGUGUUCGUCCCUCGAUCCAGCCUCCAGCUCUCCAGCCCUCUCCCUUCCGUCCAUGACUGUGCCUGGGCCCCUGCGAUGGCACUCCGCUGGGCUCUGGCAGGGCUCCGUUUUAUCCUCCUUGGUGCUGAUCUAAGGCCACCCUCCCCCUUUUUUCACAUGGCCCAGUUACUACUGCUUGUGGUCGGUUUACACAACAUUUAUUAUACUUAUAAAUCUGUUAACUUUUUAAAGGGUAAACUAUUUAAACACAAUUGAUAAACUUAAAACCUCACAGAACAAAUUUCCUUAAACAUUUACACACUUAGUCCAAUUACCCUGUUUCAACACAACUAUGAGUCUAAUAUAACUUCUCCUGAAUGCUUCAAAUGCCUUCACAACACAGACGUUUUUACUGCACCCAUAUUAAGCUUCUUUGUAAAAAUCAUAACUACUGAUUUGACCAGCUUCUUUGUUCGCGAUGUAAAACUUAUUUUUGUACUUUUCCGGGAUUGUCAUAUCAGACCCAAAAGAGAAACAGUAUCUCCUUCCCUGGGCACAUGGAAAUCACAGCCUCUGGAUCACUGAUUGAUGGAUUCUUAGUGGGAAUACUGAAUCCUUCAAGGUGACUCAAAUGGCAGGAGACAAUUGCUGGUCUCAGAUCAGGUUAAACUUGCUAAGUCAAAAGGACUUAUAAACAAGUUCUUGCAAUCUUUACUUCCAUGUCCAUUUAAUUUUGGGUACAUGAUAUUUUGCCUCAGUUUACAAUUAACUUCAGUAUGCCUUAUUAGCAUUCAUUAUAAUUAGCCGGGCCAUAGAGCAGUUUAAUCUGUCAGCCAUUCUCCUAGGACAUCUGGCGAAUCCAUUAACUGGCAACAUCAAUUAUUGAACCCUCUUCUACCUGGUUACUUAUGAGACCACUGGUUUUGACCUGCCCUUUCUGAUUUUGGUACAGUUCCUACCCUUUCUGGAAAUCUUUGACUUACAGUAAGUUUAUCUGCUCUUCUCAAGUUGUACAAAUAUACCAUUUCAUAAACAGGUAUACAGAACUUCAAGUAAGAAACACAAUCCUCUAGAUUCCAAAGUUACCUACCUAAUAAAAUAUCCUGUUUUCAUCCUUUCUUUAGGAAUUAUUAUAACUAGCUUUGUCAUUGCCCAUAAUAUUAAUUUUUCCUUUGUGAUCAUUAAAGACUCAUGGCUAUUCACAGAUUCAACUUGUUCUUGUAAAUCAACAACUGCACAGCUAGUUACUCUUUGUGACAUCCAAGUUGUCACAACCUGACCACAGGAGCCCUCUUUUCUUUUCAGCUGCCUCCUUUGUCCUUUCAGCAACAGCCCAGGGUUUUAGGCAGCAGCCUAGUUUUCUAGCAACAGCAAGAUGUCUCGGGCCACCCUCAUUUCCCCUUGCUCCCAGACGUGGACUCAGCUUCUUUGAAGGAGCCCUAGACACCACUAGCGAAAAGUGCUACUGUGAGAUCAAUGUGUGGGUGCUGAGGGCACAGGUGGGCUGGUGACGGGAGGGCACUCAGCAGCCACAGAAAAGAAAGAGCUGGAAAAGACAUUGCUUCCUAAGGUCAUAAUUAUGUUCUCAAACUGCUCUAACAUUACAACACCCCUUUCUUUUAUACAAUUUUAAAUGGAUUUUCUCUACAACGUGCCUGUUCAGCUUUGAUGACGCUUCACUCAGACUGUGAGCAUCCCAGCCUCUGAUUGUAUCGUUGCGGUGUGCAAGGCCCAUUAUUUUGAGGUUCCUCAUAUGUAUCCUUUACCAAAACCUGCUUUCAAGAAAGCAUCUUAUAAAAUUAUUGUAUAUAUAUUGUUUUCAUGUAAAUGCAUGUUUUUCAUAUACCUAUUAGACAUAAUUAUACAAUUAUUUACACAAAUGUAUUCAAUUAUGUAAAUAUAUUAUUAUAUAACCAAAUACCAUUUCAUGUUGAUACAUUUAUUGGCACAAAUUCACUCCCGUGCUAGCCUUGAGAGGCUGAUGGCCACCAGAGGGCCAUCUGGGAAGCUGCCUGCCUCUAGGAACUGUUGCUGAAGCAGGAUACCAUUAAUUACACAAUUUUGAGCAAUUUAUAUUUAAUUCUACAAACCCACCUUCAUUAAUUGAAGGCAGUUUGAAAUAGUACACAAAUGGAAAGAGUAAAGGUGUCUGCCAACUGAAAUGUGCAAAUUAGUCAGCAAGCCAGGGACGCUCUCAUCCCAGCAUUUGCAAAUCUGGUUCCAUAGACAGGGACUCUUCCUCUUUUCUGAAUGCCUGUGGCCAGGACAGUUUUCCGUAACAAGAGAUGCUCAGUGACUCUUCUCUGAGAAGGAAGAAAACGCCAUGGGAAUAAUGGAGAAAACCAUAGCCAUCUGAAUAAUUAAUCCAGGGCUGCCAUUCAUAAUCCACAAUUUCUUUUUUAAUUUGACUCUAUUAACAUUCUGAGGCAAUUGGGUUUUGAGAUAAACUUUAACUGCUUCAUUUCCAAAAUUCAUUUUGUUCACAACAUCCAGGAGCAAUCCAUCUGCUAAUCAAUAACUAACACUCAAAUGCUGCUGCCAGAAAAGCAAGCCAGCACAAAACCAAUACUGUCGGCAACUCAGAACAACUAAUUUCCUGACAGAAAUCGAUUCACAGCAAAAUAGUGGUUAUUGCAAAUAUUUAUUGUUCUGAAAGGGAAAGCUUAUCAAUGAAGCUUUUUGAGCAGUUCAUUUCCAAAUGAAAGGUGGUGAUGGGCUUCACCCAGCCAUCCAACUUUGGGACAUAGGAUGUGAUGGGUGUGCAGCAAUCACCCUACCAUUGCCUUGGAAUCGGCUCUUUCUGGGGUGUGGUGGGUAGUGUGGGUACAUCCCAGGUGGCCCUGUGGUAAAGUGGGGAGAAUUCUGGCCAUGGAGAUACCAGUUCCACACCUGGGUCUUCAUCGGCUUGCUGUGUGAUCUCAGAAAGCCACAUAACCUCUCUGAACAUUCCUUUUCUUUUAGGAAAGAAGGAUAAUCCUAUCUGUCCAAUUUCACUUCCCCUCCUCAGUUGUUGUGAGGAUUAAAUGAAGGGGUCAGGGGAGGAGCUAUCUCUGAACAUAUAUCUGAUGGACUGGGUAAAACUGGGGUCUUAACAAUGACUCAUUUCCCAAGAACAGGAUUAAGGCGCAAGACAGAAGUCUGACAGACUAUCCUAAAGCUCAGUGUUCAAGGGAGUUUUACUAACUGGAAAACAAGUGACAACAGGAACAGAAGGGAUGACUGAGUAGCACAAGUGUGCAGAAAGGAGCUGGGAACAAGGAUGGAAGAGACCUGCACGGCUUCUCUGCUCAAGAAGCACACGGUCCAGCUCACGGGGUGAGGGCUGCGCAAACGGAUAAACACAACGGGCGCGGGGACGAUGUGCAGGAAGGACUAAUGGGGACGUGGGAACGCACAGACAUGCGCUGAAGGAGGAUUUCUCAAGUUGGGCAGCAAAGUAGGGAGGUUACUCCAGGAAAAGACAACAGGCAGAUUAGCAUUUCAGGAGAACCGUAAAAGUAAAUCAGAAUUUCCCAGGUUUCUCACUUGAAGUUCACGUUUACAUUUUUUUGCUUUGUCUCUGUACCACAUCGCAUGUACCAUUGUAAAUUGACGAAUUUUUAAAGUAAAUA